UCCUUGGUGGCUGAGACAGUUAAGAAUCUGCCUGUAAUGCAGGUGACCCAGGUUCGAUCCCUGGAUUGGGAA
rnacentral:tRNA from 1 species